GACAGAGGGCUCGAGUGUUAUUCGUUUUGAUUGGGCGUACAGGGUACGUAGGUGGCUCUUAGAGUUUUUGGUCAAAAUCGCGGAGAGUUCCUACGCGAUGGCCUUUUAACAAUUGAGCUUGGUGUUGGUGAGAGGUCGGUUCAACUUUGCAAGUAGGGGUAAGAUCCACCGAGAUGCGAAAGAAAGUCAGCCGGCGAAGGCGUCCCUCCUGCUCCAACAGACGCUAAGGUACGGAAGCUUAGGUAUCAAACGGGA
rnacentral:rRNA from 1 species